GGACGCUCAACCAACUGAGCCACUCGGGUGCCCCAUAAAAGACUUGUGACUCUUCUGUGCCUCCUGGUUUCCCCUGUGGGAAUGACAGUGUCCGUGGCAGUUGGCUUGAGGCUGUAUGACUACAUGGGGGACAGACUUACCUCUAUGGCACAUGGAUCUUCUGGCCUGUGUUAACGAUCAGCACUUGAGACACUACAGCCAACGAGCCUUGGUCACCCUGGAACUUGACUGACAGGCCGAGAUCUUGGGCCUCAGGCCUGAACCCGGAUACCUUUAUCAGCACCAGCUUUCGGGAGCCAACCCCAAGUCCCAUCCAGCUCCACAUUCGGCGACGUCCCCGUGGAGCCUGGAAGGAGCCACGGUGGGAACACGGACGCCGUGAAAACCAGCCACCGCUCCAAAGCAGGACUGUUUCCUCGUGGAGGACCGGUGGGUAGACGUUUGCCAGCACACCCCUGCCUGAGCUCCAGGUACCUGGGAAUCCUAGCUUGCUUCUUCUUGAGCACAGAGACGGAGUUUCCCAGGGAAACAUCAGUCACCUUUCUCACUGCCGGGCAGAAUACUCUGAAGUUGGGGGGAGGAGCUGAUAAAACGGGGACCAAAUGAAAUCGUGAGCAAGAGCGGUGCUGGGUAGGGAAGAGAGAGGCACGAGGCAAGGCUAGAGGCAGGUGGGGCAGAGAGCACAGCCCUGGAGUAGAGAUUCAGAUUUUGGGGAGGCAGGGCGCUUUCAGGAGGAGGGGGAUAUGUUUGGGUAUUUUAUAAAGAUCCCUCCAGAUGUCUGGUGUGUGGACAGCAUGUAUGAGCGGGUGGGGGGAGGGGAUUACUUAGAAAUCCCCGUUCUGCACUGAGGCGGUAGAGCACGGAGGCCAAGCAAGGUGCUGUCUGGGGCUAGGAUAAGGGGGUUAGAGCGGCUGCUGACCUUUGCCCCAGCACCCACCCCACCCUGCCUCCACCUCCACCCCUGCACUUCUGCUGCAUCCAGGGCCGUCCUGGAUCAACAACAAAUUAGGGAAAGAGUCUAAAGGUCCAUCAACUGGCCAUGGAUAAAGAAGUGGUGUGGGUAUACGCAUACAUACAUGCACAUACACACACACACACGAUGGAAUAUUAAAAAGAAAGAAAUCUUGCUCUUUGCAACAUGGAUGGAACUAGGGUAUGUUACGCUAAGCGAAAUACGUCAGAAGAACCCGCGCUCUCACUCACAGAGGCGCUCCCCUCUGCCGUGCGGCAGGGCUGGUGCUCCUUCACCCGGACCCUCCCGGGACAUCGCGGUCACCUCUCUGCCUGCUUCAGGCAGGCACGAUGCUGGGUUUCUUGGGACAUGUGGAGGGAGGCCAGGGGCUUCCGUCCCCGGGCUGACUGCUCACGUAGAAAGGCGAGGUGACGCUGAGCCAGUGUGUGCUGGUGAGGAAUUCGGGGAGGGAAGGACGGCAGGCAGAGCGCUCGUUCAAGAUAGCGGACAAGCAAUGCUUAAAGCGACCACCUCGAAACCGGGGGCUCUAUUCCUUGGGUAGAACGUGGAAGCAGAAUCCUGAUUAUAAUGGACCAGGGUGAGACCGUUCUAUGGCUCUGCAACAUGUUACAGCUGGGGAAAGCGGGGGAAGGGUGCCCGGGUCUCCCCGUACCUGCUGAUGCAACUUCUGCAUCUGUAUUGUUUCUAAAUAAA